AACAUCCGGACAGCUAGGUGAUAUAAAAAAGGGACCACAAAACAUCCAGGUAGACGAUAUAAAGAAAACAAGGACGGGUCAUUCGAAGGUAUACAUAUAUAUACA